AAAUUGAAGAGUUUGAUCAUGGCUCAGAUUGAACGCUGGCGGCAGGCCUAACACAUGCAAGUCGAACGGUAACAGGAAGCAGCUUGCUGCUUCGCUGACGAGUGGCGGACGGGUGAGUAAUGUCUGGGAAACUGCCUGAUGGAGGGGGAUAACUACUGGAAACGGUGGCUAAUACCGCAUAACGUCGCAAGACCAAAGAGGGGGACCUUCGGGCCUCUUGCCAUCAGAUGUGCCCAGAUGGGAUUAGCUUGUUGGUGAGGUAACGGCUCACCAAGGCGACGAUCCCUAGCUGGUCUGAGAGGAUGACCAGCCACACUGGAACUGAGACACGGUCCAGACUCCUACGGGAGGCAGCAGUGGGGAAUAUUGCACAAUGGGCGCAAGCCUGAUGCAGCCAUGCCGCGUGUAUGAAGAAGGCCUUCGGGUUGUAAAGUACUUUCAGCGGGGAGGAAGGUGUUGUGGUUAAUAACCACAGCAAUUGACGUUACCCGCAGAAGAAGCACCGGCUAACUCCGUGCCAGCAGCCGCGGUAAUACGGAGGGUGCAAGCGUUAAUCGGAAUUACUGGGCGUAAAGCGCACGCAGGCGGUCUGUCAAGUCGGAUGUGAAAUCCCCGGGCUCAACCUGGGAACUGCAUUCGAAACUGGCAGGCUUGAGUCUUGUAGAGGGGGGUAGAAUUCCAGGUGUAGCGGUGAAAUGCGUAGAGAUCUGGAGGAAUACCGGUGGCGAAGGCGGCCCCCUGGACAAAGACUGACGCUCAGGUGCGAAAGCGUGGGGAGCAAACAGGAUUAGAUACCCUGGUAGUCCACGCCGUAAACGAUGUCUACUUGGAGGUUGUGCCCUUGAGGCGUGGCUUCCGGAGCUAACGCGUUAAGUAGACCGCCUGGGGAGUACGGCCGCAAGGUUAAAACUCAAAUGAAUUGACGGGGGCCCGCACAAGCGGUGGAGCAUGUGGUUUAAUUCGAUGCAACGCGAAGAACCUUACCUGGUCUUGACAUCCACAGAACUUUUCAGAGAUGGACUGGUGCCUUCGGGAACUGUGAGACAGGUGCUGCAUGGCUGUCGUCAGCUCGUGUUGUGAAAUGUUGGGUUAAGUCCCGCAACGAGCGCAACCCUUAUCCUUUGUUGCCAGCG
rnacentral:rRNA from 1 species